rnacentral:rRNA from 1 species
UACGUAGGGUGCGAGCGUUUGUCCGGAAUUAUUGGGCGUAAAGAGCUCGUAGGCGGCUGGGAAGUCGGCGGUGAAAGCCCGGAGCUCAACUCCGGGUCGGCCGUCGAGACUCCUCGGCGUCGAGCUCACUAGAGGCAGAUGGAAUUCCGGGUGUAGCGGUGGAAUGCGUAGAGAUCCGGAAGAACACCGGUGGCGAAGGCGGUCUGCUGGGGUGAGGCUGACGCUGAGGCGCGACAGCGUGGGGAGCAAACAGG